GCGUGAAUAAAACUCUGUGAAAACUAGUAGAGAGCAAGAAGAAGGGGUCGGGGCUUCGUUACCAACUGGCAAGGCACGGCCACUGCUCGGAAACGCUGGCACGGCUGUGGGUCGCGAGCACCAUGGCAGCGGGCGUAGCUUGCGGCUUAGCAAGAUCCAGACGGCGGCGGGGUGGCUAGGGCAUAAUUUCUAAACACGUAGGGGAGGAAGAGAAGCCGCAGAAUAUGCCUAGAGGCUUUAUAGGGGUCGGAUUGGGGCUUGGUUUGGAAGUUCCCAUGAAAGCUGGGAUUCGGUGGCCAGCUCCAGAACAGAGUCCAAGCUGCUCGCGAGUUGGGGAAGAAGAAAGAAGGAGAUCGUGACACUGACGCGCGGGCCCAGAGUGGCAGUGAGAGGAACAGCGGGGUCGGGCUGUCAGGGAAAGAAGGGAAAGGGGUGGCGCGGGCUGGCUUCUGCCACUGAGCCGCGAGUUGGGCCGUGGAGGGGGAAAAGAGGAGUGGCGCGCUUGGGCUGGGAAGGAAAGAAAGGGGGAAGGAGGAGAGUUUGGGCCUUCGAGCCAGAAAGAGGGGUGAGUUUUCUUCUUUUCUUUUCUUUUCUUUUCUUUUCUUUUUAUUUCUUUUUAUUUCAAAGUCCUUUUUAAAACAGUUUAGAAAUCAAUUUAAAAAUAUUUUGACUUUGCUCAAAUUCACACAGUACAAUGAAAAUAAAUGCUCCAAUAUGAAUGCACAACAAGUUGCUAAGUCCUAUAAUAAAUUUUAUUUAAAUGAAAAUAUUAUUUUCCUAUGUUUCAUGAGCACAAAAAUCCAAAAUUAAAUCAUUUUCACCUAUUUCAAAAAGUAGUAAAUUUUAGGGUGUUACAAAUCUACCCCCCUUAAAAUGAAUCUCGUCCUCGAGAUUCAGAAGAGACAUGGGUCCUUUGAGAGAACACAGAAUAAAGAUCUUGAUAACUCUUUCAACUUCACAACUUGUAUACCAAGGCAAAUCCAGUUUUCCAUAGAAUGCCUAUCAUUCAUAAUUGAUCAAAGUCCAUCUUCGCUAUCAACUGUUUGAAUUAUACAACUCAAAAAUUUGAUAACUUAGCAUGGAUUUGCCUCCUCACGUAGGAGUGGACCACCUUGAUACUCAAUUCUUUUCCCUGAUGGUGCGGUUAAGAAAAUUUUCCACCGGGUAGCAUAGAUCACUCCUUUUUGUGCACAUAACCAUCUAUUGCCAAGAACCAGAGGAAUGUCGAGUGACCCUAGCAUAAUGAGGUUUUCAGUGAAGUUUUCCAUUGAUAUAAUUUCGCUGCACUUUACUUCCAAGAGCAGGCUUCUUACGAACUUUCCUUUUACGCUUCCUUCGUUGUGGAUUCUGAUUUGAUUCGAUGUCAACUUUCUCCUCAAUAUUGUCAUUUGGAUAGUACUCAGCUUUAUCAUACUCAUAACAUCUUUCUUCAAAGGUGAUCAUAAGGUAUCUCAGAAGACAAUUAUCACUUCAAGCUAGUUUUGAAAUGCAUCAUCUCAUGAUAUCAAGGUACUACCCCCCUUAAAAUUAGAUUGAUUGGGGGACACUAGGCACUAGUUCUCCUAACCUUUUUGGACGCUACACAUCCAUAGUCUUUUACAUUCGUUGUACCGAGUCUCUUGAUCCAAGGUUAGUUUCAUCACUAAGUUCCAAUUAUCGGUACCUUUAUCACAGUUAAGU
rnacentral:lncRNA from 1 species